AGAGUUUGAUCCUGGCUCAGAACGAACGCUGGCGGCGUGGCUAACACAUGCAAGUCGAACGCGAACGGCUCUUCGGAGCUUAUUAGAGUGGCGAAAGGGCGAGGAAUACUUGGGUAACGUACCCUACACACCGGGAUAACUGUGGGAAACUACAGAUAAUACUGGAUGAGACCACGACUCGUAAGAGUUGUGCUCAAAGGGCGGGGAUCUCUUCGGAGACCCGUUGGUGUGGGAGCGGCCCAAGUCCUAUCAGGUUGUUGGUGAGGUAAUGGCUCACCAAGCCUACGACGGGUACCGGGACUGAGAGGUUGAUCCGGCGCAUUGGGACUGAGACACUGCCCAGACUCCUACGGGAGGCUGCAGUAACGAAUAUUGGACAAUGAGCGAAAGCUUGAUCCAGCGACGCCGCGUGUAGGAUGAAGUCCCUCGGGAUGUAAACUACUGUCAGGGACUACCAAGCAAGGACUGUUAAUACCGGUCUGCGUUGAGGAAUCCCAGAGGAAGCCACGGCUAACUUCGUGCCAGCAGCCGCGGUAAGACGAAGGUGGCGAGCGUCGUUCGGAAUUACUGGGCUUAAAGCGCAUGUAGGCGGAUCAUCAGGUGUCUUGUGAAAGCCCUCGGCUCAACCGAGGAACUGCUGGGCAAACCGAUGAUCUUGAGGCAGGUAGGGGCAACGGGAACUCUUGGUGGAGCGGUGGAAUGCGUAGAUAUCAAGAGGAACGCCAGAGGCGAAGGCGCGUUGCUGGGCCUGUCCUGACGCUGAGAUGCGAAAGCGUGGGUAGCGAACGGGAUUAGAUACCCCGGUAGUCCACGCCCUAAACGAUGUCAACUAGAUCGAGGGUUCUCUGACGGAUUCUUGGUCGAAAUGAAAACGGUAAGUUGACCGCCUGGGGAGUACGGUCGCAAGGCUAAAACUCAAAGGAAUUGACGGGGGCUCACACAAGCGGUGGAGCAUGUUGCUUAAUUCGAUCAACGCGAAGAACCUUAUCCUGGGCUUGACAUAUUUGGAUGACCAUCUGGAAACAGAGUAGUCUGCUCUUCGGAGUGAAACUUAUACAGGUGCUGCAUGGCUGUCGUCAGCUCGUGUCGUGAGAUGUUGGGUUAAGUCCCGUAACGAGCGAAACCCUUGUCGUUAGUUGCCAGCGCGUUAUGGCGGGGACUCUAGCGAGACUGCCGGUGUUAAACCGGAGGAAGGUGGGGAUGACGUCAAGUCCUCAUGGCCUUUAUGCCCAGGGCUGCAAACGUGCUACAAUGGCGUGUACAAACCGACGCAAGACCGCGAGGUGGAGUAAAUCGGAAAAAACACGCCCCAGUUCGGAUUGGAGUCUGCAACUCGACUCCAUGAAGUCGGAAUCGCUAGUAAUCGCGUAUCAGCGUGACGCGGUGAAUGAGUUCCUGAGCCUUGUACACACCGCCCGUCAAGUCAUGGAAGCUGGUAGCACCCGAAGUCGCCCUAUUUCAGGGGUGCCGAAGGUGAGAU
rnacentral:rRNA from 1 species